UACAGAGGUCUCAAGCGUUGUUCGGAUUCAUUGGGCGUAAAGGGCGCGUAGGCGGCUUGGGAAGUCUGUGGUGAAAGCUCGUGGCUCAACUGCGAGUCGGCCAUAGAUACUCCUAAGCUCGAGUCGACUAGAGGCAGAUGGAAUUCCGGGUGUAGCGGUGGGAAUGCGUAGAGAUCCGGAAGAACACCGGUGGCGAAGGCGGUCUGCUGGGGUCGAACUGAC
rnacentral:rRNA from 1 species